rnacentral:misc_RNA from 1 species
GAUGAAGAACGUAGCGAAAUGCGAUACUUGGUGUGAAUUGCAGAAUCCCGUGAACCAUCGAGUCUUUGAACGCAAGUUGCGCCCGAAGCCACUAGGCCGAGGGCACGCCUGCCUGGGCGUCACACGCCGUUGCCCCCCCAUCUACUCCUUCGGGAUUGCAGGGGGGCGGAUGAUGGCCUCCCGUGCGCCUAGCCGCGCGGUUGGCAUAAAUACCAAGUCCUCGGCGACGCACGCCACGACAAUCGGUGGUUGCGAAACCUCGGUUGCCCGUCGUGUGCGUUCGUCGCGCAUCGAGGGCUCGAAAAAAUGCUCGGCUCCGGCUGGGCUUUCAACGCGACCCCAGGUCAGGCGGGGUUACCCGCUGAAUUUAAGCAUAUCAAUAAGCGGAGGA